rnacentral:rRNA from 1 species
GAUGAACGCUGGCGGCGUGCCUAAUACAUGCAAGUCGAGCGAACGGACGAGAAGCUUGCUUCUCUGAUGUUAGCGGCGGACGGGUGAGUAACACGUGGAUAACCUACCUAUAAGACUGGGAUAACUUCGGGAAACCGGAGCUAAUACCGGAUAAUAUUUUGAACCGCAUGGUUCAAAAGUGAAAGACGGUCUUGCUGUCACUUAUAGAUGGAUCCGCGCUGCAUUAGCUAGUUGGUAAGGUAACGGCUUACCAAGGCAACGAUGCAUAGCCGACCUGAGAGGGUGAUCGGCCACACUGGAACUGAAACACGGUCCAGACUCCUACGGGAGGCAGCAGUAGGGAAUCUUCCGCAAUGGGCGAAAGCCUGACGGAGCAAAGCCGCGUGAGUGAUGAAGGUCUUCGGAUCGUAAAACUCUGUUAUUAGGGAAGAACAUAUGUGUAAGUAACUGUGCACAUCUUGACGGUAACUAAUCAGAAAGCCACGGCUAACUACGUG